rnacentral:rRNA from 1 species
GACGAACGCUGGCGGCGUGCUUAACACAUGCAAGUCGAACGGGCCUGUCUUCUUUUUUGGGGGGUGGGUUGAGUGGCGAACGGGUGAGUAUCACGUGAGUAACCUGCCCUUCGGUCCUGGAUAACCGCUUGAAAGGGCGGCUAAUACGGGGUGGUCCGGUUGGUCCGCAUGGGCUGGUCGGGAUAGAUUCACUGUUUUUGGUGUUUCGGCGGUGGAUGGGCUCGCGGCCUAUCAGCUUGUUGGUGGGGUGAUGGCCUACCAAGGCGGUGACGGGUAGCCGGCAUGAGAGGGUGGGCGGCCACAGUGGGACUGGGAUACGGCCCAGACUCCUGCGGGAGGCAGCAGUGGGGGGUAUUGCACAAUGGGCGGAAGCCUGAUGCAGCGACGUCGCGUGAGGGAUGGAGGCCUUCGGGUUGUGAACCUCUGUUUCCGGUGGUGAAGGCGCUGUCCGUGUGGUGGGGUUGACGGUAGCCGGGGAUGAAGCGCCGGCUAACUACGUG